UGGGAAGGGGAAGUAAAGCUCAUUUAGUUGGAGCUUCUCUAUUUGACAGAUAUGCCAGCAACGUCCAAGUUUCAUUUUCAGAGUGAGAUAUGGGAAGCACAGAGUGUUGUACAUGUAUGCCUGGUCCAUGCUGAGGUAUACAACAUGCUAGAAGUGAAUAGCAAGGAGCAGACAUAGAGGAGUCCAGGAUACGACCAUCACAUUCUGAACACAGCAUACCCAGCAAUUCUUCUAAAACCAUCUGUGAUUUGAUAUGCAAUUACAUAGGAGAAAAGUUAC